rnacentral:rRNA from 1 species
UACGUAGGGUGCGAGCGUUAAUCGGAAUUACUGGGCGUAAAGCGUGCGCAGGCGGUUUUGCACGUCCGAUGUGAAAGCCCCGGGCUUAACCUGGGAACUGCGUUGGAAACGGCAAGACUAGAGUAUGUCAGAGGGGGGUAGAAUUCCACGUGUAGCAGUGAAAUGCGUAGAGAUGUGGAGGAAUACCGAUGGCGAAGGCAGCCCCCUGGGAUAAUACUGACGCUCAGGCACGAAAGCGUGGGGAGCAAACAGG